rnacentral:rRNA from 1 species
GGGAGUGAAAUAGAACCUGAAACCCUGCACUUACAAGCUGUGGAAGCACAUUUCUUGUGUGACCGCGUACUUUUUGUAGAACGGGCCAACGAGUUACGUUAAGUAGCAAGGUUAAGCACUUAAGGUGUGGAGCCGUAGCGAAAGCGAGUUUUAACUGAGCGUUCAGUUACUUGACGUAGACCCGAAACCGGGCGACCUACCCAUGAGCAGGCUGAAGCGAAAGUAAAAUUUCGUGGAGGUCCGAACCCACGAGCGUUGAAAAGCUCGGGGAUGACUUGUGGGUAGCGGUGAAAUUCCAAUCGAGCCCGGAGAUAGCUGGUACUUCACGACAUAGCUUUAGAGCAAGCCUCGACGUGAGAGAUACGGAGGUAGAGCACUGAAUGUCCUAGGGGGUAUUGCACCUACCGAAGACUAUCAAACUCCGAAUUCCGUCUUCUUAUACUUGGGAGGAAGACUGUGUGUGAUAAGAUUCAUAGUCGAAAGGGCAACAGCACAUAUCGUCAGCUAAGGUCCCUAAAUGUAAGUUAAGUGGUAAAGGAUGUGGGAUUGCACAGACAACCAGGAUGUUGGCUUAGAAGCAGCCAUUCAUUCAAAGAGUGCGUAAUAGCUCACUGGUCGCGUGAUCCUGCGCCGAAGAUUUCCGGGGCUAAAACUUACUACCGAAGCUACGGCAUCAGUAAUGAUGGGUAGGGGAGCUUCCCAUACGGUUUGAAGCAUGACCGUAAGGACAUGUGGACAGUAUGGGAGUGAGAAUGUUGGCAUGAGUAGCGAGAUGUGGGUGAGAA